AGGAAAGCCAAGGCUACAGUCUGAAUCUCAACCAAAGGAAAUAAGGUGAAUAUUUGACCUGCAUCUUCUCCACCAUGAAGCUGCUGACUCUGUCGUUCCUUCUUUGUGCCCUGCUGGCUCUGAGCUUGGCUGCGGAUACCACAAAGGGAACUGUAACCAAGGAUGCUGAGGAGGCUGCUGAAGAAUCCAAGGAUGAGGAAACCGCUCCAGAAGG